GUGGGAAUACAACUGAACAUACCUUUAUGGCUCUUGGCUGGAAUCUCUAAGAGUUCUGUGGAGAAUAUUCUGUGCUGGUAAUUGUUCCUAAUCAGCUGGAUGAAAGAGAAAGCAAAAAGUGCUUUUGAUACCUUCCCUGAAAAUGUCUGCAGCAUAAUAAUCUGAUAAGGGUAUAAUCACUAUGAUAAUCUUUAUAUUCACUAUGAUUCAACCUUCACCAAGUUCUAGCUAUGCUAGAAAGUGGAUUUUGACUGAGUAGAACAGCUCAUCUCGGUCACUCUACAGAAAUGGAGGACCACCACCUUCGACAUGUGAUAAGCCUUUGGAAACUGGUGCCUUGGGCAAGCUCAAGGACGACUCUACAUCUCGACGUCAAGUGUCUGGCCCAUAACAAGUGCUCAAUGAAUUCCUGUUGACAGAAUAAAUAUGUAAGUGUUGCAAGAGAGUUUCUUGCA
rnacentral:lncRNA from 1 species